rnacentral:rRNA from 1 species
AAGGGACAGCAGUAGCCGCGGGAAUACAGAGGGUGCGAGCGUUAAUCGGAUUUACUGGGCGUAAAGCGUGCGUAGGCGGCUUCUUAAGUCGGAUGUGAAAUCCCUGAGCUUAACUUAGGAAUUGCAUUCGAUACUGGGAAGCUAGAGUAUGGGAGAGGAUGGUAGAAUUCCAGGUGUAGCGGUGAAAUUCGUAGAGAUCUGGAGGAAUACCGAUGGCGAAGGCAGCCAUCUGGCCUAAUACUGACGCUGAGGUACGAAAGCAUGGGGAGCAAACAGGAUUAGAUACCCCUGUAGUCCCUGUCUCUUAUAC